rnacentral:ncRNA from 13 species
CCAACGGCCCUCUUUAGGGCCACAAAUUUCGAAAUAAUCCUAAAAU